rnacentral:rRNA from 1 species
UACAGAGACUGCAAGCGUUAUUCGGAUUCACUGGGCGUAAAGGGUGCGCAGGCGGCCAAGUGUGUUAGGCGUGAAAGCCCGGGGCUUAACUCCGGAAUUGCACCUAAAACUACAUGGCUAGAGCAUUGGAGAGGGUAGCGGAAUUCAUGGUGUAGCAGUGAAAUGCGUAGAGAUCAUGAGGAAGACCAGUGGCGAAGGCGGGUCUCUGGACAGUUCCUGACACUGAGACACGAAGGCCAGGGGAGCAAACGGG